GACGAACGCUGGCGGCGUGCCUAAUACAUGCAAGUAGAACGCACAGUUUAUACCGUAGCUUGCUACACCAUAGACUGUGAGUUGCGAACGGGUGAGUAACGCGUAGGUAACCUGCCUGGUAGCGGGGGAUAACUAUUGGAAACGAUAGCUAAUACCGCAUAAUAUUAAUUAUUGCAUGAUAAUUGAUUGAAAGAUGCAACUGCAUCACUACCAGAUGGACCUGCGUUGUAUUAGCUAGUAGGUGAGGUAACGGCUCACCUAGGCGACGAUACAUAGCCGACCUGAGAGGGUGAUCGGCCACACUGGGACUGAGACACGGCCCAGGCUCCUACGGGAGGCAGCAGGAGGGAAUCUUCGGCAAUGGACGAAAGUCUGACCGAGCAACGCCGCGGGAGGGAAGAAGGUUUUCGGAUCGUAAAGCUCUGUUGUAAGAGAAGAACGGGUGUGAGAGUGGAAAGUUCACACUGUGACGGUAUCUUACCAGAAAGGGACGGCUAACUACGUG
rnacentral:rRNA from 1 species